AGGCUUAACACAUGCAAGUCGAGGGGCAGCAUGGUCUUAGCUUGCUAAGGCCGAUGGCGACCGGCGCACGGGUGAGUAACACGUAUCCAACCUGCCGUCUACUCUUGGACAGCCUUCUGAAAGGAAGAUUAAUACAAGAUGGCAUCAUGAGUCCGCAUGUUCACAUGAUUAAAGGUAUUCCGGUAGACGAUGGGGAUGCGUUCCAUUAGAUAGUAGGCGGGGUAACGGCCCACCUAGUCUUCGAUGGAUAGGGGUUCUGAGAGGAAGGUCCCCCACAUUGGAACUGAGACACGGUCCAAACUCCUACGGGAGGCAGCAGUGAGGAAUAUUGGUCAAUGGGCGCAGGCCUGAACCAGCCAAGUAGCGUGAAGGAUGACUGCCCUAUGGGUUGUAAACUUCUUUUAUAAAGGAAUAAAGUCGGGUAUGGAUACCCGUUUGCAUGUACUUUAUGAAUAAGGAUCGGCUAACUCCGUGCCAGCAGCCGCGGUAAUACGGAGGAUCCGAGCGUUAUCCGGAUUUAUUGGGUUUAAAGGGAGCGUAGAUGGAUGUUUAAGUCAGUUGUGAAAGUUUGCGGCUCAACCGUAAAAUUGCAGUUGAUACUGGAUAUCUUGAGUGCAGUUGAGGCAGGCGGAAUUCGUGGUGUAGCGGUGAAAUGCUUAGAUAUCACGAAGACUCCGAUUGCGAAGGCAGCCUGCUAAGCUGCAA
rnacentral:rRNA from 1 species